AGCGAACGCUGGCGGCAGGCCUAACACGUGCAAGUCGAACGGAUCCUUCGGGAUUAGUGGCGGACGGGUGAGUAACACGUGGGAACGUGCCCUUUGGUUCGGAACAACUCAGGGAAACUUGAGCUAAUACCGGAUGUGCCCUUCGGGGGAAAGAUUUAUGGCCAUUGGAACGGCCCGCGUCUGAUUAGCUAGUUGGUGAGGUAAAGGCUCACCAAGGCGACGAUCAGUAGCUGGUCCGAGAGGAUGAUCAGCCACAUUGGGACUGGGACACGGCCCAAACUCCUACGGGAGGCAGCAGUGGGGAAUCUUGCGCAAUGGGCGAAAGCCUGACGCAGCCAUGCCGCGUGAAUGAUGAAGGUCUUAGGAUUGUAAAAUUCUUUCACCGGGGACGAUAAUGACGGUACCCGGAGAAGAAGCCCCGGCUAACUUCGUGCCAGCAGCCGCGGUAAAAC
rnacentral:rRNA from 1 species